CGAGCAUAGUCUCGAGAUGGCGAUUCAUAAUAGAGACACCGCCGUCGUUGAGAGUAUUCUCGAGAUGUCAAAAUAAAAUUCGAAUAGGUUGCUUUGCUUGGGAGGAGUAAGUUUGGUAGUAAUAUAGACAAUAUUAAAAAUAUAUUUCUAAGAAAACGAUUAUUACGCAUGUAAAUAAUGUAAGAUUUAGCUGGAUAUAAGUAUAGUAUUAUAAGGAAAUAAUAAUAAUACAAAAAAAAAAAAAAAAAAAAAAAAAUACUUGUUAAAAAAAAAAAAAAAAAAAAAAAAAAAAAAAAAAAAAAAAAAAAAAAAAAAAAAA
rnacentral:misc_RNA from 1 species